rnacentral:rRNA from 1 species
UACGAAGGGGGCUAGCGUUGUUCGGAAUUACUGGGCGUAAAGCGCACGUAGGCGGAUCGAUCAGUCAGGGGUGAAAUCCCAGGGCUCAACCCUGGAACUGCCUUUGAUACUGUCGAUCUGGAGUAUGGAAGAGGUGAGUGGAAUUCCGAGUGUAGAGGUGAAAUGCGUAGAUAUCGGAAGGAACACCAGUGGCGAAAGCGGCUUCCUGGUCCAGCACCGACGUUCAGGCACGAAAGCGUGGGGAGCAAACAGG